GAGCGGACUCCGUGUGUUGUCAGAAUCGCCAACCGGGUCAGGUGGGGAACCAAGCAGCCCUACGCGAAUUUUGACAGGCCGCGGAUCAUCUGCUCCUU
rnacentral:SRP_RNA from 1 species